GCUGGGCAUGGUGGCACGUGCCUGUAAUCCCAGCUACGUGGGAGGCUGAGGCAGGAGAAAUGCUUAAGCCAGGGAGUUGGAGGUUUCAGUGAGCCAAGAUCGCGCCACUGCACUCUAGUCUGGCAACAGAACAAGACUCCGUCUCAAAAAAAAAAAAAAAAUUUAUUUAUUUUGAGACGGAAUCUCACUCUGUCACCCAGGCUGGAGUGCAGUGGCGCGAUCUUGGCUCACUACAACCUCUGUCUCCCGGGUUGAAGUGAUUCUUCUGCCUGAG
rfam:Pan troglodytes isolate Yerkes chimp pedigree #C0471 (Clint) chromosome 17, whole genome shotgun sequence.